UGCACCUAAAUAUCAAAUAACUUUUAAUUCCCCCAGACGCUAAUGCAAAAGAUGCAGAACUAAAUAGGAGAUAAAAACGUUUUAUGGCUCUCUUGGUAUCUUCAUCGCAUACCACAAACACAGAAGAGGAUAGAAAAACCGACUUUACUUACGUUUUGGGAUAUGCUCUAAUUUUAAAAUGUCUACUCCAAGAUGACGUACCAGUACCACUAAACGAAGACGCCAGCAGGAAAAAAUCCUUUUGAAAUCUCCUGCAAUUCUUGACCGGACAACGAACAAAACCUUAGGAUCGCAGGAUGAGGGCACAUUCUCACUUUUAUGGAAUUUCAUCAAGAUAAUAAUUUAAUAU